CCCUUAGAUUGUCUGGGCGGCACGCGCGCUACAACGAUGCAUUCAAAAAGUCUUCUGACCUUAGAAGGUUGGGUAUUCUCCAAAGUGCAUCGUGAUGGGAAUAGUUUAUUGCAAUUUUUAAUCUUGAACGAGGAAUUCCUAGUAAGUACAGGUCAUCAACUUGUGUUGAUUACGUCCCUGCCCUUUGUACACACCGCCCGUCGCUCCUACUGAUUGAGUGUCUCGGUGAAUUCGUUGAUCUUCUGUCGAUUCAGUUCACUGAUCCGACGGUGGAAAGUUGAAUGAACUUCGUCACUUAGAGGAAGGAGAAGUCGUAACA
rnacentral:rRNA from 1 species